rnacentral:rRNA from 1 species
AGAGAGAGACAUGCGCGCAUAUCAAUAAGCGGAGGAAAAGAAACUAACAAGGAUUCCCUUAGUAACGGCGAGGUGAAGCGGGAAGAGCUCAAAUUUGAAAUCUUCAAGGUUUUACCUUGACGAAUUGUAGUUUAAAGAAGUGUUUUCUGCUGAAGUUUUGGUAAAAGUUCUUUGGAAUAGGACAUCAUAGAGGGUGAGUAAUCCCGUAUUUGACCAUUAUUUUCAGCUUUGUGAUACACCUUCAAAGAGUCGGAUUGUUUGGGAAUGCAGUCCAAAAUGGGUGGUAAAUUUCAUCUAAAGCUAAAUAUUGGCGAGAGACCGAUAGCGAACAAGUACCGUGAGGGAAAGAUGAAAAGAACUUUGAAAAGAGAGUUAAACAGUACGUGAAAUUGUCAAAAGGGAAGCGUUUGACACCAGUGUUGUUUUCUCGAAAAUCAAUUAAAAAUGGCUCGAUUUUGUAUUGUUGAGACCUUAAAAGCUCACUGUACAUUUUUCGUGUCCUUUUUAAUGCACUUUUCGUUUAACAAGUCAACAUCAGGUUUCUUUUGUUGUAAAAGGGUCAUUGGAAGGUGGCUUUCUUUUCGGAGAAAGUGUUUAUAGCCUUUGGCCUCUGCAAUCGGAGGAGACUGAGGUCUGCAGCGUAGACUCUUCGGGGUUAGAUACAUUUGUGCUAAGUUAUAGCCUUUCAUAGACAACUUGUUGACUAUGAUCAGUCAUGUAGCUUACUCGCUUAUGCUAUUUUACCUACGCUUAGGAUGUUGAAGAUGUAGCACAUCAU